rnacentral:misc_RNA from 1 species
AAAAUGCGAUAAGUAAUGUGAAUUGCAGAAUUCAGUGAAUCAUCGAAUCUUUGAACGCACAUUGCGCCCGCCAGCACUCUGGCGGGCAUGCCUGUUCGAGCGUCAUUUCAACCCUCAGAACCCCAUGCGGGAUCUGGCGUUGGGGAUUGGCAUCCAGCCAGCCCCGAAAUCUAGUGGCGGUCCCUCCGCGACCUCCCCUGUGCAGUAGCGAUACCUCGCAGCGGGACAGCGGUCUGACCACGCCGUAAAACCCCCAACUUCUCAAGGUUGACCUCGAAUCAGGUAGGAAUACCCGCUGAACUUAAGC